GCAAGUCGAGCGCUACCUUCGGGUGGAGCGGCGGACGGGUUAGUAACGCGUGGGAACAUACCCUUUUCUGCGGAAUAGCCAUUGGAAACGAUGAGUAAUACCGCAUACGCCCUUCGGGGGAAAGAUUUAUCGGAGAAGGAUCAGCCCGCGUUAGAUUAGAUAGUUGGUAGGGUAAUGGCCUACCAAGUCUACGAUCUAUAGCUGGUUUUAGAGGAUGAUC
rnacentral:rRNA from 1 species